GAUGAACGCUGGCGGCGUGCCUAAUACAUGCAAGUCGAGCGAACAGACGAGGAGCUUGCUCCUCUGACGUUAGCGGCGGACGGGUGAGUAACACGUGGAUAACCUACCUAUAAGACUGGGAUAACUUCGGGAAACCGGAGCUAAUACCGGAUAAUAUAUUGAACCGCAUGGUUCAAUAGUGAAAGACGGUUUUGCUGUCACUUAUAGAUGGAUCCGCGCCGCAUUAGCUAGUUGGUAAGGUAACGGUUUACCAAGGCAACGAUGCGUAGCCGACCUGAGAGAGUGAUCGGCCACGCUGGAACUGAGGCACGGUCCAGACUCCUACGGGAGGCAGCAGUAGGGAAUCUUCCGCACUGGGCGAAAGCCUGACGGAGCAACGCCGCGUGAGUGAUGAAGGUCUUCGGAUCGUAAAACUCUGUUAUUAGGGAAGAACAAAUGUGUAAGUAACUAUGCACGUCUUGACGGUACCUAAUCAGAAAGCCACGGCUAACUACGUG
rnacentral:rRNA from 1 species